rnacentral:misc_RNA from 1 species
GGGGUACUCUCUUUCGACUUGCUUUCAACUUUGCUGCCACUACUCCGGUCAGCUUUUGUAGUUGCACCUUUGGAUUUGCUGGAGGAAGUCACUCCACCCUUUUUGGGUGGAACAUCCAUCUUUCCUUUCUUAGCAGACUCGUUGGCAUUUAGUUUUGCCUUUUUCUUUUGAGGUAUCUCUGCUGCAGAUUCUGAUCUCACUAAAUCUGCUGUUUCCUCCCGUUCAGAUUCAGAAUCAUCAUCAAUAUAUUCCCAUCUCUCCUUUUUAAGAUUUAGUAUCUCUUCAUCUCCAUCCGUGUACAAAACCUUG